rnacentral:rRNA from 13 species
GCAUGACGACGCACGGGAAAGAAACCCCGGCCAAUUUCAGUGCCAGCAGCCGCGGUAAUACUGGAGGGGUAAGUGUUAUUCAGAUUGACUGGGCGUACAUCGCGUGUAGGUGGGGCUCUGCUGCUUUGGGCUCCAUCCUUCAGCUUAUGAGAAGGUCAUGUCCCAAAGAACGAGUGCCCUUGGGUCGGAAAGAGGUGGAGAGAAUGGCUCGAGGAGACGUAAUAAGCUUAGAUACGAGUCGGAAUGCC